CCUACGGGAGGCAGCAGUGAGGAAUAUUGGUCAAUGGACGAGAGUCUGAACCAGCCAAGUCGCGUGAAGGAUGACUGCCCUAUGGGUUGUAAACUUCUUUUAUCUGGGAAUAAAACAGGAUAUGCGUACCCGCUUGUAUGUAACAUAUGAAUAAGGAUCGGCUAACUCCGUGCCAGCAGCCGCGGUAAUACGGAGGAUCCGAGCGUUAUCCGGAUUUAUUGGGUUUAAAGGGAGCGGAGGGGGAUUGUUAAGUCAGUGGUGAAAUUUUGGGGCUCAACCGUAAAAUUGCAUUUGAAACUGGCAGUCUUGAGUAAAGUAGAGGUGGGCGGAAUGGGUGGUGUAGCGGUGAAAUGCUUAGAUAUCACGAAGAACUCCGAUUGCGAAGGCAGCUCACUGGACUGCAACUGACACUGAUGCGCGAAAGUGUGGGUAUCAAACAGGAUUAGAUACCCGAGUAGUC
rnacentral:rRNA from 1 species